GGCUCCUCGUUAAAGAUAAAUGGGGAGUCGGACCUGCCCAGUGAAAUUUUUUAACGGCCGCGGUACUCUGACCGUGCAAAGGUAGCAUAAUCAUUUGCCUUAUAAUUGAAGGCUAGUAUGAAUGGUUUGACAAGAGUAUAGCUGUCUCUUUAUGAUUUUAUAGAAUUUUAUAUUUAGGUGAAGAAGCCUAAUUGUAAUUAAAAGACAAGAAGACCCUAUCGAGCUUAAAAGAAAUUAAUAGGUUAUUUGUUAAAAUAUGGCUAAAAGAUUUUCUAUUAAAAAUUUUAGUUGGGGCGACUAAGGAACAUAAAAAGCUUCCUUUUAAACUUAAGUAUUUACAAAUAAUGAUCCAAAAAUUUUGAUUAAAGAAAUUAGUUACCGUAGGGAUAACAGCAUUAUCUUUUUUGAGAGUUCUUAUCGAAAAAAAGGUUUGUGACCUCGAUGUUGGACCAGAAUAUCCUAAAGAUGUAGCAGUCUUUAAGGGUUGGUCUGUUCGACCAUUAAAAUUCUACG
rnacentral:rRNA from 1 species